rfam:Picea glauca, whole genome shotgun sequence.
CAUUGUGAUCAUACCAACAAUAAUUCAUUAGAUCCAAUUAGAAAUUUGUAGUUAAGUGUGCUUCAGAUAGAGUAGUGUUAGGAUGGGUGACCUCCCACAAAGUUAUAUUGUUGCACCCU